UCAUGGCUCAUGGCGAACAAAUGUCGAAAGUUAUAUUUGCUUUAACUUUCUUUGUUUUAAACGAAUUGUUUUAAACCAAUUCAACCCCAAAUUACAUAUCUCCCAUUAAUGGAUCGUUGGCUUUCCACAUCAAGUUGUUGUAGGCCUAGUCCUACUGAUUUUCUAUGUAUCACAACUUCAGCUACCAAACUCUUGCAUAAGUAUGUCCCAAAAGUUGUUGAUAUGUGCUGAACACAAUGGGAAUCAAGUAACAAAAUGCUGGUACAACAAUUUCAUAAUCAUUCUUGGGAGCCAGAAGUGUUCUUAAGUCUCAUUUGAGCAGCUCCUUGAGUGUUUGCUGCAGCAAGUAAUGAAAUUCUGUGAUUUCCUUAUUCCUGCAGUUUCUGCUAAAGAAGCACACAACACACUUCCAAUUGCAAAUAGAGUUAUUUUCAGCAAAGAAGUGACACAUUAAGUGACACAAUAAGUGACCAUGGGUGACCAACAUCUAUCUUCAUGUGUGAAAAUUUUGCCUGACAGAUCAAAUGAGAGGCAUCUGUUUAUCUGUCCAAGAAAAAAAAAGGCAAUGGCGACACGUAUUCUCAAGGUACCUGUCAUCUGAUCUACUGCGAAUGUCAUUUGGUCAUUUGGAACUCAAUUGUGCAGCGCAAGGGACGAAGAAGAGCUGAAACGUUGUCGUGGAAAACGGCAGCCACCUACGCAUAACAUCGUGGAUUGUCGCGUUUGUUAGUUAACCCGUUGGCUGCAACCCUUUGUUUCCAAUGUAAUGCAGCGGAGACGUCUAGAAGAUGGACACCAAAACAUCAUCGGUAUCUCCAAAAUGUCAGCGCCGAUCAUCAUUUGUUGUUGGUAAAAUUUUUG